ACUAUGCGUUUUUAAACAUUCUAAUGGUGGCAAUGACUAUUUUCUAUAGUUCAGUUAACUAUGAAUUUAGGUAUUGAAAUACUAUAGUUGCGGUAACAUUUACUAUGUAUGUUAGUGUUAUUUCACCAUUUACUUCUGUUCAGUUCUGAAUUUACUAUGUAUAUAGUCAACUCAAACGUCAUGUACCGACAAAUUUCAGCUGACCACGUUUCCGUUGAAAUUUACAACAAAUAUAGUACAUUUAAAUACCAAGGAAGAUUGAUAUGCACCAUUAUGAUGCAAUUAAAGUGUUUGUUUGUUUGAGAAAAUCCGAUCCGGAUAAUAUCGUAGAAAAGGACACCAAUCCACAAUUGCAGGAUUGGAUUUAAGCCCGUUGUUUUACGCUAUUAACGUCUGUAAGUACAGAAAACUAAUUAAAACUAAAGGACUAGAUGUAGAUUAUUUUGAUUAGAAAAUUCUUUUGACUAUGUGUAAAUAAACUUUUUUCUAUGCAA